rnacentral:rRNA from 1 species
AGAUUGAACGCUGGCGGCAGGCCUAACACAUGCAAGUCGAGCGGUAGAGAGGUGCUUGCACCUCUUGAGAGCGGCGGACGGGUGAGUAAUGCCUAGGAAUCUGCCUAGUGGUGGGGGAUAACGUUCGGAAACGGACGCUAAUACCGCAUACGUCCUACGGGAGAAAGCGGGGGACCUUCGGGCCUCGCGCCAUUAGAUGAGCCUAGGUCGGAUUAGCUAGUUGGUGAGGUAAUGGCUCACCAAGGCGACGAUCCGUAACUGGUCUGAGAGGAUGAUCAGUCACACUGGAACUGGGACACGGUCCACGACUCCUACGGGAGGCGAGCGAGUGGGAAGUAUUAGGUACAAGU